AAAUUGACCCCGUGUUUUGUGGUGCUCCUGGGUUUUAACUAGGUCAGCUUUUAAAUGGGCCAUCCCCUGUAGCAGAUCCCGUUUCUAGCUAGAAGGCCAGAUCGCAUGAGUCAGCGAGGUUUAGACAGAGAUAAUAGAAGUAUGCUUGCGUUUGUUUUAACGGUAAACUGUUUACCAAGCCGCACGGUAAAACCUACAAAACUAAGGUUCCACGAGGGAAGGGACACCGCUCUGGAGAAGAAGUCGGAUAUUUUUGAAAGCUACAGAGAGAGAUCGCUGGGCCCAGAGGUCACUGGCUUUCUGCUCACAACCACUGCAAGCCUCGAACCUGCUUUCCAUCUCAACCAUCGAUUCCUCCUCCUGCACCAAGCCUUCCUUCCCUGGCUGCCUGGCCCUGCCCUUGUCGUGACUGACUUUCAGGUGGAGAACCAACUCCUGCAGGUCGUCCUCUGACCACCACGGGCACACUAUGACGCCCUUGUUUGAGCACAUGGAAAAAAAAAAAAAAAAAUCAAGGUUCAUUGGUGUAACAUCCCCAACUCCAGCUGCACCAAAAGACCAAACCUUAAAUUCCAGAACCUCAAGAGUAGGCUGGAAGGAAGAAGGCAAUUAGGAUGGGAAGGCAUCUGAAAACCUGGACAGUUGAAGGAACCAGGGAUGCCGAGGCUGGAAGGCUGGAGACCCACAACAAGCAAAGGAUGCUAAGCAGCCAUCUGCGAAGAACUUGGCGCACAAACUGUGCCGAACACCUAUCAGAUGGACGAGCAAGGGUCUCACGUAGACCAGGUGGUCAUAAACUCUCUAUGGCAAUUGAAGAUGAUCUUCAACUUCUGAUCCUCCUGCCUCUACCAUCCAAGUUCUAGGAACUCAGAGCUCACCAUCUGCCCUGGCUGGGUACGGUAACACAUUCCUGUCACCUGAGCAUUUGGAAGCCUGAAGCAGAGAAUCAGGAGGCCAGCGUGAGCUUUACUGUGUUUCAGUAACAAAACCCCACCCAGCAGCCUCCUUGGCAGCGCCGGGAGAUUGAACCUGAGGCCUCGUGCAUGCCAAGCAAAUGCUCUACCAUUGAGCUACCGUCCUAACCACCAACAACCCUUUUUCUUGGUAGCCAAAUGGUGCCCUGUCCUGUGGAUGGCCACUGUUCUUCCCCAGGCCCUUCUUCAUGGAUAUUUGAGUGGCUUCCGAUCAUAGCUGUAAUAAAUAAUCAUGGAA